UGUUCCUUUAAGUUUAGUCCCGUGAGGCUAAGAAGGUCGCGAGUAAGUAGUUGUAUGGUGCGCUGUACAAAGAUUUACUCUUCAGAAGCAUAGCUGCAAGCAUAAGUAUAAGCACAGCUAUAUCCAAUUACUGAAUCCAACCUCUUGUCCUCGAUAGGGCAAGAGGUUUUUUUGU
rfam:Enterococcus faecalis 13-SD-W-01 genomic scaffold Scaffold916, whole genome shotgun sequence.